AGCCCUGACCCUGCAGCUCAGGGACAGGAGCCCCAGCCCCGGGAUCCCCAGGUGUCCCCAUUCCGUGAUCAGGACUGAACACAGACGACGCACCAUGGAGUUUGGGCUCAGCUGGGUUUUCCUUGUGGCUAUUUUAAGAGGUGUCCAGUGUGAGGUGCAGCUGGUGGAGUCUGGGGGAGGCUUGGUGCAGCCUGGGGGGUCUCUGCAACUCUCCUGUGCAGCCUCUGGAUUCACCUUCAGUAGCUACUACAUGGACUGGGUCCGCCAGGCUCCAGGGAAGGGGCUGCAGUGGGUCGCAUACAUCAAUGGUCGUGGAAAUGACACAAGCUAUGCCGACUCGGUGAAAGGCCGAUUCACCAUCUCCAGAGACAACGCCAAGAACACGCUGUAUCUGCAAAUGAGCAGCCUGAGAGCCGAGGACACGGCCGUGUAUUACUGUGCGAGGGGCACAGUGAGGGGAAGAACAAGGACUUUCUCACUUGUGAAUGAGAACCAGGCUCCCGGGAAGCGAAAACCUGUCAGGUGUCCUGUCCCAGGAGAGCUGCACGAGUCAGACUCAGGAGUGGUGAAGGCCCAGGAGGGACUGCAGUGGACGGGGUGCCCGGGAACCAGAGAUGGUGCACACCCCAAACUUCCCUACAGGGCACAAUCGUGA